AUGUUGAAGUGGUAUGCUAGGCAACUAUGUUUGAGAUAUGAUUAUACUUGUUGCUCUAGGAUGAAGUCUCCACACCUUCCCUUUUCAUGCAAAUUUAAUGAUAAUGAAACCUUGGCUUCUUAUGCUAGAGGUAUAUAUGAUUACUAUGAUGUGGAACAAAUAGAAGAAUUUGUUGCUUUUAUGGGUGCUUAUGAAACUGAAUCUAUGUUCAAAGAAUAUGAAGAUCUUUAUGAUGCUGUUUACAGACCUGAAAAUUUAGCUAUCCUCAAAUAUUGCUAUGAGAAUUAUGAAUACAAUUCCGAUAUUAAUGCACUUAUUGAGAAAGUCUCCGCUGUCCAAGAAGAGACUAAUAUUUUGCAGGAAUCUAUGGAAGAAGAAGUUGAUGAAACUGUGAGCUCAUUGGAUGAAAAAGAUGAGGAGGAGAGCGAAGAACAAAAGGAGGAAGAGCGGAUUGAUCACCCGUUCCCACCUUCUAAUGAGAGUAACUCUUCAACUCAUACAUUGUUUAAUUCCCCUUCGUGCUUAUCGAAGGAUGAUUGCUAUGAUGACUGUUAUGAUCCCUUUGAUUCUUUUGAAAUAUCCCUUUUUGAUGAUGCCUGCUAUGCUUGUGUCCAAGAUGCCAAUAUGAAUUAUGCUUAUGGAGAUGAACUUUCUAUAGUUCCUUAUGUUAAACAUGAAAUUCUUGCUAUUGCACCCACGCAUGAUAGUCCUAUUAUUUUUUUGAAUUCUCCCGACUACACUAUAUCAGAGAAAUUUGUGCUUAUUAAGGAUUAUAUUGAUGGGUUGCGUUUUACUACUACACAUGAUUAUUUUGAUAGAUAUAAUAUGCAUGUUCUUGCUGCUCCUACAUGCAAUUAUUAUGAGAGAGGAACUAUAUCUCCACCUCUCUAUGUUUCCCACACGAUAAAAUUGUAA
rnacentral:rRNA from 1 species